CUCGCUGAAUCUCCGCACAGGGGAACGGGGGAACCGGAUACGGUCUUGAUGAACUGAUCUUCAUACAGUCAACGAAGACAUCUGCCGUAUUUGAUUUCUUUUUGCAGGAUCUGGGGUGAAUUCGAGGUCAUUGCGCCAUGAGCGAAUGAACUGAGAAAGGGCGGCUCUCUUCGUCCGAACCCGACAGCUAACCUCGUAAGCGUGUCAAGAGAGG
rnacentral:sRNA from 1 species